rnacentral:rRNA from 1 species
CGCUCUACAACCCUUUGUGAACAUACCUAUAACUGUUGCUUCGGCGGGUAGGGUCUCCGUGACCCUCCCGGCCUCCCGCCCCCGGGCGGGUCGGCGCCCGCCGGAGGAUAACCAAACUCUGAUUUAACGACGUUUCUUCUGAGUGGUACAAGCAAAUAAUCAAAACUUUUAACAACGGAUCUCUUGGUUCUGGCAUCGAUGAAGAACGCAGCGAAAUGCGAUAAGUAAUGUGAAUUGCAGAAUUCAGUGAAUCAUCGAAUCUUUGAACGCACAUUGCGCCCGCCAGCAUUCUGGCGGGCAUGCCUGUUCGAGCGUCAUUUCAACCCUCAAGCUCUGCUUGGUGUUGGGGCCCUACAGCUGAUGUAGGCCCUCAAAGGUAGUGGCGGACCCUCCCGGAGCCUCCUUUGCGUAGUAACUUUACGUCUCGCACUGGGAUCCGGAGGGACUCUUGCCGUAAAACCCCCAAUUUUCCAAAGGUUGACCUCGGAUCAGGUAGGAAUACCCGCUGAACUUAAGCAUAUCAAUAAGCGGAGGA